UAGCGUUUGCCGUUUGCGCACGGGCCUUUCCUGCAACAGGAAGAUAUAUCGCUCUUAGUCUUGCACAACCCUCCUACAUCUUGUAACUGAAUCAGUCUCUCGUAGAAUCACAUCUGUCAAAGCUGAACUGACAAAGCGAUAACCAUGAAGACGGGGUUUGCCUUUAUACUGCUCAUUGUGCUGAUAUCAUCGAUGGAAAGUGCAGUUGGUUCACCGAGUGUCGUGGCACUGCGAGAGCAUCGUGACGUAAAGCACAGGAGAGGACCCAGCCCAAUUCGUUCAUCCCGCCCUGGCCAUUCUUUGCGUCCACGCGGUCAACACCUACCUUCCCACUCUGGUAGCCAUCAUGCGUGACCCAACUUGGCCUUCACCGUCCAGGUUCAGACGAGAGGAUUUCCUUCUCUUGGAUGUCACUGCUGUUCGAAAUAAACAAUGGUAUCUGAUAACAAGA